GACGAACGCUGGCGGCGUGCUUAACACAUGCAAGUCGAACGGAAAGGCCCUGCUUUUGUGGGGUGCUCGAGUGGCGAACGGGUGAGUAACACGUGAGUAACCUGCCCUUGACUUUGGGAUAACUUCAGGAAACUGGGGCUAAUACCGGAUAGGAGCUCCUGCUGCAUGGUGGGGGUUGGAAAGUUUCGGCGGUUGGGGAUGGACUCGCGGCUUAUCAGCUUGUUGGUGGGGUAGUGGCUUACCAAGGCUUUGACGGGUAGCCGGCCUGAGAGGGUGACCGGCCACAUUGGGACUGAGAUACGGCCCAGACUCCUACGGGAGGCAGCAGUGGGGAAUAUUGCAGAAUGGGCGGAAGCCUGAUGCAGCAACGCCGCGUGCGGGAUGACGGCCUUCGGGUUGUAAACCGCUUUCGCCUGUGACGAGGCGUGAGUGACGGUAAUGGGUAAAGAAGCACCGGCUAACUACGUG
rnacentral:rRNA from 1 species